ACGUGUCCGUGCCACGUGGCCUCUGUCCGAGCCGACCCUGGCGUACUUCCCCGACGCCAGGUUCUCGCUCUCGGGCAGGGACCUCGGGGCAGGGGCCGUCGGCC
rfam:Mycobacterium sp. djl-10, complete genome.